CAAGAAAGAAGUACUUAACCAGCGCCUGGCAGGCUGCAAGUUUCUAAGUGAUUUAUAAAAAGCCUGCUCAAGUCUAGAGACUUCUAACAGGCAGAGGUGUGUUCUCCAGACUAAGAAUAGCUGCCUAGGCCUGACGGGAGAUGUUUUCUGGUGACGUCAGAGCAGAGCAGCAGCAUCUUGGGGGGCGGGGGGGAUAACAGCUGCCAGAACAGCCUCACUGCCCACCCCCGCCACCUUCCAGAGGGAUGCGCUGAGCCUGGGGAAUUCAAUGAAGGUGUUGGAAUGGUGCCAGGUGAUUACCAAGAUGGGAUUUGUUCUUGACUUUUGAAUGUCAAGAAGCUGAUCUAACCUGUCACUUUCCCACCUCACCACCCCACUGCUGGCUGCACGCUGGCCACCUGACCAGUAGACUGGGGACGGAGAGCAGAGGUCAGCAGGGGAGGCCGGCGGUCCCUGGCCGCUUUGUAUUUAGAUGUUUCCUGGGCAGCAAGAGGGCUCAGGUGCCUCCAUCCUGCCGGCACCCUCCACCCCUGGCCUCACUGGCACCUGAGGGGCCUCUAACACGUGCAGACUCCAGGCCCCCAGCCCAGCCCACUGUGGGGGGAUUCUCAUUUGCACCGGAGUGUGGGAACUCCUGCUGUUUAAGGGAAGGAGGAUUCCAGUCCAGAGCUUGCUCCAAGCCCCAGCAGAGCCUGUUCACCUGCACCCUGCCGGAUGCCACUUCCUGUGUCAGGCAGUCUUCACACGUAUGACUCCACGCAAGCAUCGUAAGAUGGCACCGUUAUCAUCCCACUCUACAGACAGGAAGCCGAGGCCCGGGGAGCAAAGCCACUUGCCCACGAGUGGUUCAACGGUCUGCUUCACUUACGUGAACGAGGACGGCCUUCGCCAUCCCUGGGCUCGGCUGCCCGGCGUGGCCUCAUAGGUACCGGUUGUUCUCACCGCCGCUGUUUUUAAUCAGCUCCUCUGGGAGAAGAGAAGCAGUUGCCUGGUGACCAAAGUGUUUUCCUGGCCCUCCGAAGAAGGUCACGCUGAGUGAGGGGGAGGAUAAAGGUCGCCACAGGGGGUGCCCCCACUUCCAGGGCUCCAGACAACAGAGCCAGUCAGCCCAGCCAGACCCCCUGCAGCACUCCAGGCGUCCUGGAUGCUCUGACGCCAUUAGCUGGAUCGAAUUAAAGGCCUGACGUCCCAGAGCAGUGGCAGCAGGCUUAUGUGCAGAGAGCCCUGCAGUGUGUGGGCAUCAUGGCCAGAGAACAAGGCAAAGCCCAGGCAGAGGGUGGGUGACUGCAGGGCCCCCAAACCUGUCUAGCCAUAUGUGCCUCUGACGUGUCCCUUUGGGAGCACAGUUGGGGACAGUCACAGAUUCCCCAAAGCUCAGCUUAGGGUAUAACAAUCUCUCCAGGGGCCAUUCUGGCUGGAUCAGUCCCGAUCUCCGGGGGCCUGUUUACCCCGCUGCAUUGUCACCUCCUGUGUGUCCGUCUCCCACUCCUCCAGGACUCUCUCAAGAGCAGAAGUAAGGCUCCCAGUUGUUCCUGGUUGUGGCUCCAGGACCCACGCAGGCCCCUGUACACAGCAGGCCCUGGAUAAACGGGCAGGGAAUAAAUGAAUGAGCAAGCAAACCUGCACAGCCUGCCUCCCUGGGGCCCGGAGUUCUUGACUCCUCCAAGCCCUGCCGUCAGGAAUAAAGUUCCCAUGGUCAUCACAGCCCAGCCUCCCAGCUCCUGCUGGCCGGUGAAGGUGGCAUAUUUGGCAGUAGACCCAGAACAGUGGAUGGGGGCCCUGAGAAGGACUCUCCAAGGAGGUGAUGUUUAUACUGAGAUUCAGGAGCCCCUGCCAUGGGAGGAGGGAAGGGAGGGGAGUUUCAGGCAGAAGGGACCAGUACAAAUGCUUGUCUAGGAGCUGACAGUGGCCAGCGGGGCUUGAGAUGAAGUUGACCGUGUAGACGGGUGAUGGAAUAAAGACCACCUCCCUUCACCCCAUACACUGGGGGGGUCUCUGGGCGAUCACCCAAGGCCCAGAGCAAAGCCAUGUGACCCUCCCUGCCCCUGGGCACCGUUCCAGGGUUUUCACCCCCACCCACCUG